GACGUAGGGCGCGAGCGUGUCCGGAUUUAUUGGGCGGUAAAGAGCUCGUAGGCGGCUUGUCGCGUCGAUCCGUGAAAACCUGCGGCUCAACUGCAGGCUGGCGGUCGAUUACGGGCAGGCUGGAGUUCGGUAGGGGAGACUGGAAUUCCUGGUGUGAGCGGUGAAAUGACGCAGAUAUCAGGAGGAACACCGGUGGCGAAGGCGGGUCGUCUGGGCCGGAUACUGACGCUGAGACGCGAAAGCGGUGGGGAGCAAACAGGG
rnacentral:rRNA from 1 species